rnacentral:rRNA from 1 species
GAUGAACGCUGGCGGCGUGCCUAAUACAUGCAAGUCGAGCGAACAGACGAGGAGCUUGUUCCUUCGUCGUUAGCGGCGGACGGGUGAGUAACACGUAUGUAAUCUACCUAUAAGUUUGGGAUAACUUCGGGAAUCCGGAUCUAAUACCGGAUAAUAUUCUGAUCCGUAUGGUUCGAUAGUGAAAGUUGGCUUUGCUAUCACUUAUAGAUGGUUCUGCGCCGUAUUAGCUAGUUGGUAAGGUAACGGCUUACUAAGGCAACGAUACGUAGCCGACCUGUGAGGGUGAUCGGCCACACUGGAACUGAGACACGGUCCCGACUCCUACGGGAGGCAGCGAUAGGGAAUGUUGCGCAAUGGGCGAAAGCCUGACGGAGCAACGCCGCGUGAGUGAUGAAGGUCUUCGGAUCGUAAAACUCUGUUAUUAGGGAAGAACAAACGUGUAAGUAACUAUGCGCGUCUUGACGGUACCUAAUCAGAAAGACACGGCUAACUACGUG